UGUUUGGAGACAUUAGGUGUGUCUCAAAUCGCACACUUCUGUACUUAUACUAGUUAUUUGAGUACACUCAAUCUGUCACUCGUCGAAGUGUGGUAAAUGCAGUGCACUACAAGUACCCGGAUGGUGCACUCAUAACGGUUAUAACAUAACGGUCAAAAAGUUGAGUGUGGAUCGAUGGACACUUUCCACCCUCAACGGUCGCCAUCUUGGCUACGUAGCAGAAGGGGCGGAGCUAACAAAAUGUGAAAAACUUUCGAUAAUGGCGGCCGAAUACGCGACAGCGAGACCCACGGAGUAUUACAAAUACGUGGCCGUCAAUGCUGCCAACUUGAGGGAAGUCCUCCUCUGCUGGAAGGCCAACGACCUGGGGGAGGAGAGAGAGGACUCCCUGCUGGUCUGGUGGACAGCACGGUGGCCCGGGGCAUAGCAAAGGCUCUGGCUAAACCACGAUAAGAGGUACCGCUGGUGAGCCAAAAGAGGAAGACAAGGGCCUCGAUGACGGGUCCCCAGCCAUGGUCACACGCCGUGCCGAGGAUGUACCGUUAAAGGAUCCCCCUGGAGAGUCUGAAGUCCACCAUCAGAUCACUUUCCCCAUCAAAGUACAGGGCCAGCAAUGAAUAGAACAAUGGGAUAUAUUUAAAUGUCUAUUGGGUUGCCUCUGCUUUCACUCUUGUAUUGUCACUGUAAUUAAUAGCUAUUGCAAUAAACACCCUUAUAUAAACAUAUAA